AGAAUUAUACAUACAUGUACAAAAUUUCAAAAUAGAUGGUUUUUCCAUAUUUAAAAGCAAGAGUUAUUCCCCAUGGCCGCCAUGUUGUAGGGCAACAUUCCCAGUUCCCUUCAUUAUUCAAGGGUGAACCAAGUUCAAUUUGUUAUACUGGUUACUGCAUGAGGUAUUUGCUAGUAAUAAGCAGAUGGUACUCCAUUAUACUGCACUGAUAGCUUCUCAAAGAUUAAAAAAUUAAUAUGAUACAUGCAAACAGGCACAGUUAAAAUGUCAAUCAUCACAAGAUCAAACUUCAGUACCAGAUUAACCCUAAAUCAAAUAUCAUCCUGAUUUAUCAAAAGACUACAUAGAACAGUCUAGAGGUGGAAACUGAUAGAUCAUUUGAAGAGGAUCCUGUUAAAGCAGUCAUAAAUAUGUUUCACAAAACAAUGAACACCUUGUUACAGCAUAUCUUGAACAGCCUAGAACAGAGAACAGUCUGGAGGUGGAAACUGAUGGAUCACUUGAAGAGGAAACUGUUAAAGCACAGAGACAUGUACCAAGGAACAACAAGACAUGAUUGUUGCAGCAUAUCUUGAACAACCUGGCAUAAGGUAUUUGUCACUAAACUCAGGUCUAAAGAGUGCAAAUGUAUUCACAUAUUUUUAGGUCACCUGAGUAAACUCAAGUUCAGGGUUUUGGUGCUAGGGCGGGGCUCUAAUGAAAGAUUAUAAAGUAAAAAAUGCAUGAAUUCCUCGAAAACCUUUUCCUUUGCUCCUGGUUAUUAUGUCAGUAUUCUAAUUAAGAACAUAUUAAUGAUGAUGAAAGGUGCCUUUUCCAAAAUGGUUAGUUUCAGAUCCCCUGGGUCAGGGUA